ACACAUGCAGUCGAGCGGCAGCACGGGUACUUGUACCUGGUGGCGAGCGGCGGACGGGUGAGUAAUGCCUAGGAAUCUGCCUAGUAGUGGGGGAUAACGUCCGGAAACGGGCGCUAAUACCGCAUACGUCCUACGGGAGAAAGUGGGGGAUCUUCGGACCUCACGCUAUUAGAUGAGCCUAGGUCGGAUUAGCUAGUUGGUGAGGUAAUGGCUCACCAAGGCGACGAUCCGCAACUGGUCUGAGAGGAUGAUCAGUCACACUGGAACUGAGACACGGUCCAGACUCCUACGGGAGGCAGCAGUGGGGAAUAUUGGACAAUGGGCGAAAGCCUGAUCCAGCCAUGCCGCGUGUGUGAAGAAGGUCUUCGGAUUGUAAAGCACUUUAAGUUGGGAGGAAGGGCAGUUACCUAAUACGUGAUUGUUUUGACGUUACCGACAGAAUAAGCACCGGCUAACUCUGUGCCAGCAGCCGCGGUAAUACAGAGGGUGCAAGCGUUAAUCGGAAUUACUGGGCGUAAAGCGCGCGUAGGUGGUUUGUUAAGUUGGAUGUGAAAGCCCCGGGCUCAACCUGGGAACUGCAUCCAAAACUGGCAAGCUAGAGUAUGGUAGAGGGUGGUGGAAUUUCCUGUGUAGCGGUGAAAUGCGUAGAUAUAGGAAGGAACACCAGUGGCGAAAGCGACCACCUGGACUGAUACUGACACUG
rnacentral:rRNA from 1 species